GCUUGUCUCAAAGAUUAAGCCAUGCAUGUCUAAGUAUAAACAAAUCUAUACUGUGAAACUGCGAAUGGCUCAUUAUAUCAGUUAUAGUUUAUUUGAUGGUUCUUACUACUUGGAUAACCGUAGUAAUUCUAGAGCUAAUACAUGCAUCAACCCCCGACUUUUGAAGGGGUGUAUUUAUUAGAUGGAAACCAAUGCGGGGCAACCCGGUUGUUGGUGAUUCAUAAUAACUUUUGCGGAUCGCAUGGCCUUGAGCCGGCGACGAAUCAUUCAAAUUUCUGCCCUAUCAACUUUCGAUGGUACGGUAUUGGCCUACCAUGGUUACCACGGGUAACGGGGAAUUAGGGUUCGGUUCCGGAGAGGGGGCCUGAGAAAUGGCCACCACAUCCAAGGAAGGCAGCAGG
rnacentral:rRNA from 1 species